ensembl:lncRNA
AUCGACCAAGAUCAUGGAAGAGUGGAGAGGAACCUCUGCGGUCCGACAAUCACCUGAAACCAAAGGAGAGCUGGCCCUUUUCUUUCUUUCUUUCUUUCUUUCUUUCUUUCUUUCUUUCUUUCUUUCUUUCUUUCUUUCUUUCUUUCUUCAGGGAAGGUUUGGAGGAGCACCGGGAGGGGACAAGGAAGGGCCACAGACGUCACGGGAAAAGAGGGAAGGAGCUGAGGCGGAGCGGACCCUCGGAAGAGCCUUGGCAGGUGCUGCCUUCAACCGCGUCCCGUCUCCCGCGAUUCCCCCCUCCCCCUACCUUUUAGGAUGCCGCCGAUCGCCUAAGCAGCAACAGCAGCAACGCACUCGGGCACGUCCAUCGAGCCAGCCUCCACAUCGAAGUCGCCUGGCCGAGCGAGCGGCGUCCCGCGAUCCCCUCGGCUCUCCGGACCGGCCUCCCUCGCCGCCGCCGCCGCCGUCGUCGUCGUCCCCCUUCCCCGGCCCGGCGUUCUGGUCCGACAGCGGGAGAGGAUCGGGCGUCCCGGCCGCGGGGCGAAGGAGGCUCACGGGACGUUGGAGGGAGAAGUGAGCGGCCGAGGGAGCGGAGUCCCCGCUUCUUCCGCCGGCACAGCUUCGAAGCGGCCGAGGCAAAGCCGCCUUCAGACGCGACGCUGUCCAGUCCGAGCUCCGGGGGUUGGUUGCGGGGGCGCGGGGGUGGGGGAAGACGGGGGAGGGAGGUGGACCGGGGACGGGAACUCUCCGCUUGGCUCUAGUCGUGUCUCGUCCGCCGCAAUCCCAGCGCGCUUUUCGGAGGCGAAAACAUCCCGGCGGGGCUCGAUCGCUCGAACCCGGGCACGAUCGGGAAGAGGAGGAGGAGGAGGAGGAGCAGGAGGAGUGGAGGACACGCGGCGAUCCCGCUUCGCUGCUUUCGCCCGGCGACCUUGCCCGACGUCCGCAUCACUCCAGGCUCCCGGGGCGCCGCCUUGAUGGAGAGUGUGAGGAAAGUGGAGGCGACGCCGGCGCCCUGCUCCCAGGCCCGGACUGGCUGGAAAACAUGUCUGUUCGCGAGGAGGCAAGGAGAAGAUCUGGAAGCCGGGAAGACUCCCGGGAGGGGAAGGGGAAGCGAGCGUCUCCCGGGCCGAAGGAGGUCAGGCUCUGCCCCGACUCGAGGCCGACCAAGCACCCGCACCCGCUUCUCUCUCGGAUGGGGGGGGGGAACUUCGCCUCCCCUGGGGCGGCAGCCAAACGUUCAAUUCCGGGCUACCUCGUCCCUUUGCACUUUUCCCUGCACUCUCCUUCCUUCCCGGGUGCAAAAGAGCAGCCUUCGAGGCACUGCCAGCCUCCGCUUCCUUCCUUGGCCUCCCGCCCCCGCCCCCACCCCCCGGUUCGUUGGGGCGGCCGCUUGUAACUUCGCCCCAGCACCCCGGGCCGGGGGCGCAGAGAUGCUCCUCUUUCGGCUCCGCUUCCGCCGGCGCUCGGAGCGAGGCUCGAGGUGCCGCUGCUGCUGCUGCUGCGGAACCUCCUUCACCGCCUCCCGGCCUCUCCCCCCCCGCGCGCUUUUGCUUGCUCCGCUCCUGCUGAGGUCUCUGGCUUCGCCAAUCACAGCCGGGAAGCCUGGGUGAGCCCGGGAGCCAAGAAGCCAGCCGUCGCGAGUGCUGCGAGGGAGCGCGGCGUGGCGGGCGGCUUUUUAAAGGGAACGCCGCCCCCUUUUCAACUUCCCCUCCUCCUCCGCCCAGCCUUUACUUUUCUUUUCUUCAACUUUUCCGGAUUCGGGUAGGAUGA